rnacentral:rRNA from 1 species
GGGUGAGUAACACGUAGGGAACCUGCCCGUGCACCGGGAAUACGCUCUGGAAACGGAGAACAAAUCCCGAUGUACAGGAAGGAGGCAUCUUCUUUCUGUGAAACAUCCUUUAGGGGAUGGGGCGCGGAUGGACCUGCGGUGCAUUAGUUGGUUGGCGGGGUAAAGGCCCACCAAGACGAUGAUGCAUAGCCGGCCUGAGAGGGCGGACGGCCACAUUGGGACUGAGACACGGCCCAGACUCCUGCGGGAGGCAGCAGUAGGGAAUUUUCGUCAAUGGGCGCAAGCCUGAACGAGCGAUGCCGCGUGAGUGAAGAAGGCCUUCGGGUCGUAAAGCUCUGUUGCGGGGGAAAAAAGGCAGCAUCAGGAAAUGGGUGCUGACUGAUGGUGCCCCGCCAGAAAGUCACGGCUAACUACGUGCCAGCAGCCGCGGUAAUACGUAGGUGGCGAGCGUUAUCCGGAAUGAUUGGGCGUAAAGGGUGCGCAGGCGGUCCUGCAAGUCUGGAGUGAAACGCAUGAGCUCAACUCAUGCAUGGCUUUGGAAACUGGAGGACUGGAGAGCAGGAGAGGGCGGUGGAACUCCAUGUGUAGCGGUAAAAUGCGUAGAUAUAUGGAAGAACACCAGUGGCGAAGGCGGCCGCCUGGCCUGUUGCUGACGCUGAGGCACGAAAGCGUGGGGAGCAAAUAGGAUUAGAUACCCUAGUAGUCCACGCCGUAAACGAUGAGGACCAAGUGUUGG